UGGGGAAUCUUGCACAAUGGGGGAAACCCUGAUGCAGCGACGCCGCGUGAGCGAUGAAGGUUUUCGAAUCGUAAAGCUCUGUCCUAUGGGAAGAUAAUGACGGUACCAUAGGAGGAAGCCCCGGCUAACUACGUGCCAGCAGCCGCGGUAAUACGUAGGGGGCGAGCGUUGUCCGGAAUUACUGGGCGUAAAGGGUUCGCAGGCGGCAUGACAAGUCCGAUGUAAAAGGCGAAAGCUCAACUUUCGUAAGCAUCGGAAACUGUCAAGCUUGAGUGAAGGAGAGGCAAGUGGAAUUCCUAGUGUAUCGGUGGAAUGCGUAGAUAUUAGGAGGAAUACCGGUGGCGAAGGCGACUUGCUGGACUUCAACUGACGCUGAGGAACGAAAGCGUGGGUAGCAAACAGG
rnacentral:rRNA from 1 species